ensembl:snRNA U6 U6 spliceosomal RNA
GUGCUCGUUUUGGCAUCACAUAUACUAAAAUUGGAAUGAUACAGAGAAGAUUAGCAUGGCCCUUGUGCAAGGAUGACAUGAAAAUUCGUGAAGUGGUCCAUAUAAAA